GAUGAAGAACGUAGCGAAAUGCGAUAAGUAGUGUGAAUUGCAGAAUUCAGUGAAUCAUCGAAUCUUUGAACGCACAUUGCGCCCCUUGGUAUUCCAUGGGGCAUGCCUGUUCGAGCGUCAUUUGUACCUUCAAGCUUUGCUUGGUGUUGGGUGUUUGUCUCGCCUCCGCGUGUAGACUCGCCUCAAAACAAUUGGCAGCCGGCGUAUUGAUUUCGGAGCGCAGUUCAUCUCGCGCUUUGCACUCACAACGACGACGUCCAAAAGUACAUUUUUACACUCUUGACCUCGGAUCAGGUAGGGAUACCCGCUGAACUUAAGCAUAUCAAUAAGCGGAGGA
rnacentral:misc_RNA from 1 species